UUGAAUGGCUUUUUAAUAUAUUCUUUAGGAUUAUGUCUGCAGAUAAACCACAAACAUUUUUUACUGAUCAAGAUCCUGCUAUAUCUUCUGCUAUCUCAUUAGUAAUGCCAUAGACGUAUCAUCGCCUUUGUGUAUGGCACUUGGAAAAGAAUGAGUUUAAACAUCUUAGUCAUAUUUUUAGAGAUAAUGCAUCAUUUCCAAAAGAUUUUAGCAAAUUGCUUUAUGGUUAUGAGUAUGAAGAGGAUUUCUUAAGUGCAUGGCAGGAAAUGCUUGACAAAUAUGAUCUUGCGGAUAACAGCUGUCUGAAAACCACAUUUGCUAUAAGAGAGAAAUCGUCCAUGACAUACGGAAGAAAUACAUUCUCAGCAGGACGUGACAGAAGGAAGCUUUCAUCCAUUGUGUCCUUCUCAGUUGUCUCAGGGAUAUUCAUCUAAUGAAAGUUUGACUCAACUCUUAAGAGAUGUUUCAUUUCCUGAUUUUAACAAGUAUUCUCAACAUUGAUUGCGGCAGCUUCAUCAAAGCAGAGGUUACAUGGUGAUGGUGAUUUAAGUGAUCAUAAUCAUGAUCUCAAAGUCGAGAUGUAUACUUCUUUGGCAUAGUUAUUUUCUUUCAUAGAUUUUAUUCCAGUGUGCAAUUGACUUUUGCAUCUGUGAAUUAAGUUUUUUCUUUCCAUUUUUUGGCGUCAAGGCCAUAACCCACUCGUGGUAGUUGAAAUUUGUUUUC